GAUCAUGGCUCGGGAUGAACGCUAGCUACAGGCUUAACACAUGCAAGUCGAGGGGCAGCAUGGUCUUAGCUUGCUAAGGCCGAUGGCGAUCGGCGCACGGGUGAGUAACACGUAUCCAACCUGCCGUCUACUCUUGGACAGCCUUCUGAAAGGAAGAUUAAUACAAGAUGGCAUCAUGAGUUCACAUGUUCACAUGAUUAAAGGUAUUCCGGUAGACGAUGGGG
rnacentral:rRNA from 1 species